GGGUGCGUAGGCGGCAGUGCAAGUCAGGUGUGAAAACUAUGGGCUUAACCCAUAGAUUGCACUUGAAACUGUGUUGCUUGAGUGAAGUAGAGGCAAGCGGAAUUCCCGGUGUAGCGGUGAAAUGCGUAGAGAUCGGGAGGAACACCAGUGGCGAAGGCGGCUUGCUGGGCUUUAACUGACGCUGAGGCACGAAAGCGUGGGUAGCAAACAGGAUUAGAUACCCUGGUAGUCCAUGCUGUAAACGAUGAUUACUAGGUGUGGGUGGACUGCCCCCAUCCGUGCCGGAGUUAACACAAUAAGUAAUCCACCUGGGAAGUACGACCGCAAGGUUGAAACUCAAAGGAAUUGACGGGGGCCCGCACAAGCAGUGGAGUAUGUGGUUUAAUUCGAAGCAACGCGAAGGACCUUACCAGGUCUUGACAUCCAACUAAUCCUGUAGAGAUACGGGAGUGCCCUUCGGGGAAAGUUGAGACAGGUGGUGCAUGGUUGUCGUCAGCUCGUGUCGUGAGAUGUUGGGUUAAGUCCCGCAACGAGCGCAACCCUUGUGAUUAGUUGCUACGCAAGAGCACUCUAAUCAGACUGCCGUUGACAAAACGGAGGAAGGUGGGGACGACGUCAAAUCAUCAUGCCCCUUAUGAUCUGGGCUACACACGUACUACAAUGGCCAUCAACAGAGGGAAGCAAAACCGCGAGGCAGAGCAAACCCCUAAAAAUGGUCUCAGUUCGGAUCGCAGGCUGA
rnacentral:rRNA from 1 species